UACGGAGGGAGCUAGCGUUGUUCGGAAUUACUGGGCGUAAAGCGCGCGUAGGCGGCUUUGUAAGUCAGUGGUGAAAGCCCGGAGCUCAACUCCGGAACUGCCAUUGAAACUGUGAAACUUGAGGAUGAGAGAGGUGAGUGGAAUUCCCAGUGUAGAGGUGAAAUUCGUAGAUAUUGGGAAGAACACCGGUGGCGAAGGCGGCUCACUGGCUCAUUUCUGACGCUCAGGCGCGACAGCGUGGGGAUCAAACAGG
rnacentral:rRNA from 1 species